rnacentral:rRNA from 1 species
AUGCUCGAAGUUCAUGCCGCCGGUUGCCUCCGUGUUAGCUCACGAACUCUUAGGAGCAUUGGCUUCCGUGAUAGCUCUGAUGUAAAAGCAGAAUUGGUCAUCGACGAUGCUCCUCGCCUUGAACGGUUAUUGUUACCGUAUAGUCACCUGAAUGAUUGUGUGACUAUCCGGAUUAUUAGGGCACCUAAACUGGAGAUAUUGGGUCCUUUCUCGCCGGACUUGUGCGAACUCCUGGCCUUCCAGGGAAUGGGUCCAGUCGGCUCUGCAAACUCGAUAUCUACCGUGAAGGUUUUGGCUGUCGGGUGUUAUACUUACCAAUUGAAUGCAGUUCUUGACAUCCUCAAGUGGUUCCCCUGUUUGGGAAAGCUCUAUGUCACCUUUGGCAGGCAAAAUUUGCCUCAUUAUGACCGACCACAUCCCAUGGAAUGCCUUCAGACCCAUCUAAAGGAAGUGGUGUUGAAGUAUUUCAAUGGUUAUGAGCAACAGAUUGACUUUGCCAGGUUCUUUGUUUUGAAUGCGAAAGUGCUAAACAAAAUUGAAUUCCAUGUACGUGAGGACCACUACAACAAUGAAUUUGUGGCUCGUCAACACACGCUGCUCCAAGCCAAAGACAGUGCUUCUCCGGAUGCUCAAUUCGAAUUCAGGAAAACUUGUGGUUCUAUUGAUUAUCAUGUCAGCAAGCAUAUCCACGAUAUGUCAGUGGCCGACCCCUUCGCAGACAAGGUUGAUGCCUGA